GACGAACGCUGGCGGCGUGCUUAACACAUGCAAGUCGAACGGAAAGGCCCUGCUUUUGUGGGGUGCUCGAGUGGCGAACGGGUGAGUAACACGUGAGUAACCUGCCCUUGACUUUGGGAUAACUUCAGGAAACUGGGGCUAAUACCGGAUAGGAGCUCCUGCUGCAUGGUGGGGGUUGGAAAGUUUCGGCGGUUGGGGAUGGACUCGCGGCUUAUCAGCUUGUUGGUGGGGUAGUGGCUUACCAAGGCUUUGACGGGUAGCCGUCCUGAGAGGGUGACCGGCCACAUUGGGACUGAGAUACGGCCCAGACUCCUACGGGAGGCAGCAGUGGGGAAUAUUGCACAAUGGGCGGAAGCCUGAUGCGGCAACGCCGCGUGCGGGAUGACGGCCUUCGGGUUGUAAACCGCUUUCGCCUGUGACGAAGCGUGAGUGACGGUAAUGGGUAAAGAAGCACCGGCUAACUACGUG
rnacentral:rRNA from 1 species